rnacentral:rRNA from 1 species
ACUCAAAUGAAUAGACGGGGGCCCGCACAAGCGGCGGAGCAUGUUGCUUAAUUCGAUGCAACGCGAAGAACCUUACCUGGGUUGAACUACGCAGGAAAAGCCACAGAGAUGUGGUGUCCGCAAGGGCCUGCGAUAGGUGGUGCAUGGCUGUCGUCAGCUCGUGUCGUGAGAUGUUGGGUUAAGUCCCGCAACGAGCGCAACCCUUGUCCUAUGUUGCCAGCGGGUAAUGCCGGGGACUCGUAGGAGACUGCCGGGGUCAACUCGGAGGAAGGUGGGGAUGACGUCAAGUCCGCAUGCCCCUUAUGUCCAGGGCUGCAAACAUGCUACAAUGGCCGGUACAAAGGGUCGCUAUCCCGCGAGGGGGAGCCAAUCCCAUAAAGCCGGUCUCAGUUCGGAUCGGAGUCUGCAACUCGACUCCGUGAAGUCGGAGUCGCUAGUAAUCCCGGAUCAGCAACGCCGGGGUGAAUACGUUCCCGGGCCUUGCACACACCGCCCGU